CCUACGGGAGGCUGCAGUGGGGAAUAUUGGACAAUGGGGGGAACCCUGAUCCAGCCAUGCCGCGUGUGUGAAGAAGGCCCUCGGGUUGUAAAGCACUUUCAGUGAGGAAGAACGCCUGGUGGUUAAUACCCAUCAGGAAAGACAUCACUCACAGAAGAAGCACCGGCUAACUCCGUGCCAGCAGCCGCGGUAAUACGGAGGGUGCGAGCGUUAAUCGGAAUUACUGGGCGUAAAGCGCGCGUAGGUGGCUUGAUAAGCCGGUUGUGAAAGCCCCGGGCUCAACCUGGGAACGGCAUCCGGACCUGUCAAGCUAGAGUGCAGGAGAGGAAGGUAGAAUUCCCGGUGUAGCGGUGAAAUGCGUAGAGAUCGGGAGGAAUACCAGUGGCGAAGGCGGCCUUCUGGACUGACACUGACACUGAGGUGCGAAAGCGUGGGUAGCAAACAGGAUUAGAUACCCCAGUAGUC
rnacentral:rRNA from 1 species